GACGAACGCUGGCGGCGUGCUUAACACAUGCAAGUCGAACGGAAAGGCCCUGCUUUUGUGGGAUGCUCGAGUGGCGAACGGGUGAGUAACACGUGAGUAACCUGCCCUUGACUUUGGGAUAACUUCAGGAAACUGGGGCUAAUACCGGAUAGGAGCUCCUGCUGCAUGGUGGGGGGUGGAAAGUUUGGGCGGUUGGGGAUGGACUCGCGGCUAUCAGCUUGUUGGUGGGGUAGUGGCUUACCAAGGCUUUGACGGGUAGCCGGCCUGAGAGGGUGACCGGCACCAUUGGGACUGAGAUACGGCCAAGCCUCCUACGGGAGGAAGCAGUGGGGAAUAUUGACCAAUGGGCGGAAGCCUGAGGCAGCACCGCCGCGUGCGGGAUGACGGCCUUCGGGUUGUAACCCGCUUUCGCCUGUGCCGAAGCGUGAGUGACGGUAAUGGGUAAAGAAGCACCGGCUAACUACGUG
rnacentral:rRNA from 1 species